AUACGGAGGGUGCGAGCGUUAAUCGGAAUUACUGGGCGUAAAGGGUCCGUAGGCGGUCUGCUUAGUCUGAUGUGAAAGCCCCGGGCUUAACCUGGGAAUGGCAUUGGAUACUGUCGGACUAGAGUCUGGUAGAGGGUGGUGGAAUUCCCGGUGUAGCGGUGAAAUGCGUGGAUAUCGGGAGGAACACCAGUGGCGAAGGCGGCCACCUGGACCAAGACUGACGCUGAGGGACGAAAGCGUGGGGAGCAAACAGGAUUAGAAACCCCAGUAGUCC
rnacentral:rRNA from 1 species